GUUCAGAUUGCAGCUGCAACUCGACUGCAUGAAGUCGGAAUCGCUAGUAAUCGCGGAUCAGCAUGCCGCGGUGAAUACGUUCCCGGGCCUUGUACACACCGCCCGUCACACCAUGAGAGUCGGGAACACCCGAAGUCCGUAGCCUAACCGCAAGGGGGCGCGGCCGAAGGUGGGUUCGAUAAUUGGGGUGAAGUCGUAACAAGGUACC
rnacentral:rRNA from 1 species